GAUCACAUCAUUCCUGGUAAGCCACAGUGCCCAGCAUAAGGCCGCCGCUCCCACGAGAGUAAGGCCUUCAUGUGUUUCCGAUGAAAUGAAAUUGACCGCACGAGAAUUGGGAAUCACCACCGUGUACCCCGGCCACAGCCCGUCUGUCGAUACCAACUGCCAGCGUGAUUGCCGACGUGAGGUUCACUAUGCCUGACUUGGGAGAGAAGAACGAGAGGUAGGAGGAGAGUUCAGUUUACAUUAUUCUUCAGACGUACUAGAAGAGUGUUGUUUUUCAGUUUUACAGCACAAAGCUUAUAAUUAAGCUCCACACACACACGCUAGUACGCGACGCACGAUAGCUUUAACUUAACCCACACUUGCGCCACCUUAUUUACGCUCGUCCUCAUCGGGUGGCGCACUCCUGCAUUCUUCCCCAGGCGUGACAUAGUUUUCUACUUUGCGAGGCACGCCAGCACGAUCCAAUACACGCUCACCGCCAAAAUGCCGAGCAAACAUAUCAGCAGCAGAACGUCCUGCAGCAGUUGAGCUCAACGGAUCAGCUCAGUUCAGUCUAGCUAGCAGCGAUGCCAGCAUGCAAGCAAGCACGUACACGUUCAAUCUCAAGUCACCGGGAUAGUUUACGGGCAAAGGAAGGAAAUUAAAUAGUAGCAACAUCGAUAUAUCUUGACAGAAAUAAGUUUGAAUCACAUUACGUACCGCAGCUCCACACGCUGGCGGCGCCGCCUCUGCUGGUGGAUUGACGACCACAUUCGCUGGUGGAUUGACGACCACAUUCACCACCACCUGCAACAGUUGAUAGAAAACUGGAAUUAGUUCGAAUCGGAACGCCGGAGGAAUGGCAAGGUUGAUUUGUGAACCACAUACCGCAACCGCCGGAGGAUUGGCAAGGUUGUUGGCUGCUGCUGCCGCCGGAGGAUUGCCAACCUUGUUGGCUGCUGCUGCCGCCGGAGCUUUGUCCAUGGCGUCCGCGCGUGCAGAGAGAGAGAUAGAGAUAGNNN
rnacentral:lncRNA from 1 species